UACGGAAGGCAGCAGUGGGGAAUAUUGCACAAUGGGCGCAAGCCUGAUGCAGCCAUGCCGCGUGUAUGAAGAAGGCCUUCGGGUUGUAAAGUACUUUCAGCGGGGAGGAAGGCGAUGCGGUUAAUAACCGCGUCGAUUGACGUUACCCGCAGAAGAAGCACCGGCUAACUCCGUGCCAGCAGCCGCGGUAAUACGGAGGGUGCAAGCGUUAAUCGGAAUUACUGGGCGUAAAGCGCACGCAGGCGGUCUGUUAAGUCAGAUGUGAAAUCCCCGGGCUUAACCUGGGAACUGCAUUUUGAACUGGCAGGCUUGAGUCUUGUAGAGGGGGUAGAAUUCCAGGUGUAGCGGUGAAAUGCGUAGAGAUCUGGAGGAAUACCGGUGGCGAAGGCGGCCCCUGGGACAAAGACUGACGCUCAGGGU
rnacentral:rRNA from 1 species